AGGGUAUCUGCAGGUUUCAGCAAGUCAAAUUUAAGACUUUUUAAGACCUUUUUAAUACCACCUUGAAUGAAAUUUAAGACCUUAAACCCGCGAUGGCGGGGGGGAUCCCGCUGUAUUACAACCCAAGCAUAGCAUGUGUGUCACUCAAUGAGACUCAUUCAAUUUUACUUUCCGUCUGUUUAUUGAACAUAAAGUGAUACUCCAGGGCUCCGGACUAACUUUUUCCUUGGGUGCACUGGUGCGCCUACAUUUUUAAUUUGGGUGCACCAGCACGUAUUUAUGGUGCACCCAAGUUGUAAGUUGUUGAGAGGGGGGAGACAGCGUCUGGGCCCCCGGGCAGCUGCACCGGUUGCACCGUCGAUAUUUACGCCACUUAUUAAUAAUAUUUUCACCAUUAAAUAAAUGCCUUCAGUAAGACCUGGGGGGUAUACCACGAACCUCGUUGAACAUACCCAGGCUUUCUUGGGAAAACCUGGCUCGACAGAGCCGCAACUCGCAAUCACAGUUAAAUGGUACCACGACGCUCACUUUAGAUUAAAUUAGUUGAACCAGGUUUUCCGCUUUAGGUUCAAUGCGCGUUCACAUAAAAGGGGCCGUUGUAUUUCAUCCAAGGCGAGCAAUGUAUUAUUAUGAACUCCUACGAGGAAUUCAAAGUUCAAAUCACAGCCAAGGGGAACACGGUUGCCCAUAAUAUGGCUAGGGUGG